GGCUCCGGGGGUCCACUUCUUGGUCUCAUCCGGAUCCCCAGAUCCUCCUCUAUCAUUCCCGACAAUUGGAAAAAAUGUCUGGGGGGGUCCCUGCGGCCCAGGGGCCGCUUUUGGGGGGGCGGGUGAGGAGAGGUGGGGAAGAGAGGGGGAGGGAGGAGAGGAGGAAGAGCGCCGCAGCCUCGGCAGCUGGAGUCGGAGCAGGGGGGGAUGGUUUCAAAAAAUAAUUAAAAAUCGAGGAAAUAUCCUAGAAAAGCCCUUUUGGCGUGAAAACCCCAAAGAAGAGCCAGGCUUCCCGAAACAGAGGUUUCGGGUGCCAGAAAGGUGUAAGCCUUUUUCUGGUUCACUACAUGCCAAGGACUGCGCUAAAUCAUUCACAUAAAACCACCAGCGUGCAUCACCUCAUUUGGUCCUCCCACAGUCUAACGGAAGAAUCUACCAUAAAACCAACAGACUCCUCCUGAUCUCUACCUGUGCUGUCUGCCUCUCUAGUUCCGGACACUGAGAGCUGGUGCCCUGUGGCCACCUCAAGCUGGAACCCUGCAAGAUCACCAAGAAGACUGCAUGCCUCGCUCUAGCCUUCCUAAGGGAAAGUAGACUCCUGUUUUUGAGAGAAAUUACCUGAUUUCAAGAGAAACAUAAAGGACUUUUUUUCCCUUAACAUUCCACUCGUAAAAAUGAAGUUUGGAAGAACUUCUGCAAACUCUGAGUGUUUUGGUCAAUUGACCUUUUACUGUACUAAGCAAAUCUGAAGCCACAAAUACAUUGGGGAGGAAGGUAUACCCUUCACAAAAGAUCCGUCACUUAGCCAGAUACUCUGUUGCCAUGCUUCUUUAAAUAAAGCACAUUUCUGGUAUAUUUUAUUUAUUUAUUUUUAUUUUUUAGAGUUGGG
rnacentral:lncRNA from 1 species